rnacentral:rRNA from 1 species
UACAGAGGUCCCGAGCGUUGUUCGGAUUCACUGGGCGUAAAGGGUGCGUAGGUGGCGGGGUAAGUUUGAUGUGAAAGCUCAGGGCUUAACCCUGAAAUGGCAUUGAAUACUACUUUGCUGGAGGUUUGGAGGGGGACUGGGAAUUCUUGGUGUAGCAGUGAAAUGCGUAGAUAUCAAGAGGAACACCAGUGGCGAAGGCGAGUCCCCUGGACAACACCUGACACUGAGGCACGAAAGCUAGGGGGAGCAAACAGG